ACUCUGUGCUGCCUGGUCUCACGGAGGAGGCCGACGCCACAACGACGGAGGGCGUGGCGAGCACUGACGCCGCGCCUGUUCAGCGCCUGGCCGAUACCCCCAGCCUGGAGUUUCUUGAGGAGAGAGCUGUCUCUGCUGAAGUAGCCAUAACGCCAGACGGAGACAUGCAGCAGAGACCCCCCACGGUGCCCAAGCUGGCCUGGGUGAAGGAGGAGGAAGAAGGAGGAAAGCCCUAGGGCUGGUCCAACACAGCAGCCUGAAGAGGUGCAGCAGGUGCAGCCCCCGCAGGAGGAUGCAGGCCAGGAGCGGACAGAAGAGCAGCUCCGUGCCCGUGGCCGCUUCCGCAGGGCAGCACAGCUGGUUUGCAGAUUCAUCAGGUGCAUUUGGCAUGAAGAGGCCACUUUCAUGGCCACUGGGGACACGGCAAACUCGGACCUCUUCAAUGCCCAGACCAGCGCUGCCCUGCUGGAUAUGCUGGUGGAGAACGGUGUCUAC